rnacentral:lncRNA from 1 species
GAAAAAAACAAAAAACAAACACCAGAUUUCAGUUCAGAGAACACUCGUUCAACAUUCAGGGAAACCUUUUUAUAUCACCUGCUAUGAAUGAACGCAGUUUGCUGGCAAAGUUUUGAUGCAUUUGCUAAGCAUUAGUGGGAAAGGCAUGCCAACAUCUCUUCUCUAUAAUGUGUUCACUCUUGGGGGAAAAAAAAAAGGAAAAAAAAUCUUAGGACCAGGCAGUUGUAUACUUUAGUUAUAAUGAAUGACUUCAUGUUAAUCUUGCUAGUUUAGAUGAUUUCUGAGGGAAAGUAUUGUAAAUGUUUUUUUUUU